AUGCAUGUCAAGUUUUUUAUUUAAAAAAUUAACAAAAACUUACAUCCAAAUUUUUUUUUAAAAAUAACUAAAUUAAUGCCUUUUUAGUUUUAUAUUUUAUGUCUAAAUCUAUUAACCAUUCAAUCUAUUAAAAAUAAAAAAUUAGUUAACUGAAAGUUAUAUAUUUAAAUAUAAGAAACUUGAGAAAUGAAAAUUUUAAUUUUUUUUUUAAAUCUAAAUAUACGAAUC
rnacentral:lncRNA from 1 species